CAUAGUACAUGGGGUAAGCCUGUUUCCUAUUUACCAUUUCGAUGUAAGUCAUCAUGCCGAUGUUUUGAGAAAAAAAGAGGCAAACAUUAGAAUUCGUUGGACAUUGAACCAAGCUUUU